GCAAUCUUUAAAAGUUGUGAAAGAAGAGUCCUUUCGGACAUUUAAGCUAGGAAUUAUGCUUUUAAUAUCCAUGUUUUUAUAUACCCAGUCUCUUAGCUGCCUUCACUGCUGUGUGUGACAGUCCAAACCUUCAAAGUCAAGUUUUUCUAUUGCUGAAGAAAAGAGCAAGGCUCUAAGUAAAGAAGACAUCACUGGCAGAAUAUCACACAGCCAAUGGCGGUUAUUUCUGUGCGGCUCGUGAAGGGCUUUGUUCUUUCCUCUGACAGCUCUGCAGCAGUGACCUAACGAAACACAGGCUGUAAAAGCAGGUGUUCACGCUGAAAAAAAAGCCCCCAUCUCAAGUUCAUUGCCUUUUCCUGUCCAUAAGCAACAUAGCAACAAAUAUGCACAGUCCCAUCCCAAUGGAUCAUCCAUCAAGUCAGCAGUGAGACAUUGGAUUUCUGGAUAAUUAUAGCACAUCUUGGAUGGAGUUAUCCUACCAGAUGUGACAGAUGCAAGAACGCUUUCAGUACUGACAUGGUUAUUCAAUCUCCUUUCUUGUGGAUUGCAGGUAUUCCUCAGCUCACUAAUCAUUUUGCUGAAUGGAGCUCAAGAUGAC